UACAGAGGUCCCAAGCGUUGUUCGGAUUCAUUGGGCGUAAAGGGUGCGUAGGUGGCGCUGUAAGUCAGGUGUGAAAUUUCGGAGCUCAACUUCGAAACUGCAUUUGAUACUGCGGUGCUUGAGGACUGGAGAGGAGACUGGAAUUUACGGUGUAGCAGUGAAAUGCGUAGAUAUCGAGAGGAACACCAGUGGCGAAGGCGAAUCCCUGGACAUCUCCUGACACUGAGGCACGAAAGCUAGGGGAGCAAACAGG
rnacentral:rRNA from 1 species